CGGACGUGGGUAACCUGCCUCAUACAGGGGGAUAGCAGCUGGAAACGGCUGAUAAAACCGCAUAAGCGCACAGCAUCGCAUGAUGCAGUGUGAAAAACUACCGGUGGUAUGAGAUGGACCCGCGUCUGAUUAGCUGGUUGGUGAGGUAACGGCCCACCAAGGCGACGAUCAGUAGCCGGCCUGAGAGGGUGACCGGCCACAUUGGGACUGAGACACGGCCCAA
rnacentral:rRNA from 1 species